rnacentral:rRNA from 1 species
UACGGAGGGUGCAAGCGUUAUCCGGAUUCACUGGGUUUAAAGGGUGCGUAGGCGGGCAGGUAAGUCAGUGGUGAAAUCCCCCGAGCUUAACUCGGGAACUGCCAUUGAUACUAUCUGUCUCGAAUAUUGUGGAGGUAAGCGGAAUAUGUCAUGUAGCGGUGAAAUGCUUAGAUAUGACAUAGAACACCUAUUGCGAAGGCAGCUUACUACGCAUAUAUUGACGCUGAGGCACGAAAGCGUGGGGAUCAAAACAGG